rnacentral:lncRNA from 1 species
AUGUGGAUGUGUAUGCAUGAGAAAAAAUAUAUAGGCUACAGCAAAUGUAUUAGUCUACACAGAUGUAAAAUGAAUAGUUUCGUCUUUUUAACACAGUAUAUUGGAUUGUUGUCAUAUGCUGUCUCUUGUCAUCUUGUAUAAGGAUGAUUCUUGUCCAACUUUCGCUUUCGUUACCUUCGAAUCAAAACCAGUCGAUCAGGUUGAACUGUGCAGUACAGAGGUCGAAAGCUCACACUUUACACAGCUCUCGCUUUUCGUUUUCUUUCAGCUGGUGUUUGGAGAUUUUCCCACAGUCAUGUCAGGGGGAACAGGAUGAUU